rnacentral:rRNA from 1 species
GGAAGUAAAAGUCGUAACAAGGUCUCCGUUGGUGAACCAGCGGAGGGAUCAUUACCGAGUUUACAACUCCCAAACCCAAUGUGAACGUUACCAAACUGUUGCCUCGGCGGGAUCUCUGCCCCGGGUGCGUCGCAGCCCCGGACCAAGGCGCCCGCCGGAGGACCAACCAAAACUCUUAUUGUAUACCCCCUCGCGGGUUUUUUUACUAUCUGAGCCAUCUCGGCGCCCCUCGUGGGCGUUUCGAAAAUGAAUCAAAACUUUCAACAACGGAUCUCUUGGUUCUGGCAUCGAUGAAGAACGCAGCGAAAUGCGAUAAGUAAUGUGAAUUGCAGAAUUCAGUGAAUCAUCGAAUCUUUGAACGCACAUUGCGCCCGCCAGUAUUCUGGCGGGCAUGCCUGUCCGAGCGUCAUUUCAACCCUCGAACCCCUCCGGGGGGUCGGCGUUGGGGAUCGGCCCUUUACGGGGCCGGCCCCGAAAUACAGUGGCGGUCUCGCCGCAGCCUCUCCUGCGCAGUAGUUUGCACACUCGCAUCGGGAGCGCGGCGCGUCCACAGCCGUUAAACACCCCAAACUUCUGAAAUGUUGACCUCGGAUCAGGUAGGAAUACCCGCUGAACUUAAGCAUAUCAAUAAGCGGAGGA